rnacentral:rRNA from 1 species
UACGAAGGGUCCAAGCGUUAUCCGGAUUUAUUGGGUUAAAGGGUGCGUAGGCGGCUUAUUAAGUCAGUGGUGAAAGCCUGUAGCUAACUACAGACUGCCAUUGAUACUGAUGAGCUUGAAUGAUACUUGAGGUUGGCGGAAUGUGUCAUGUAGCGGUGAAAUGCUAGAUAUGACACAGAACACCGAAUGGCGAAGGCAGCUAGCUAAAGUACA